rnacentral:rRNA from 1 species
GACGAACGCUGGCGGCGUGCUUAACACAUGCAAGUCGAACGAUGAACUUGGAGCUUGCUCUGGGGGAUUAGUGGCGAACGGGUGAGUAACACGUGAGUAACCUGCCCUGGACUCUGGGAUAACUUCGAGAAAUCGGAGCUAAUACCGGAUAGGACCUUGCACCGCAGGGUGUGGGGUGGAAAGUUUUUCGGUUUGGGAUGGACUCGCGGCCUAUCAGCUUGUUGGUGAGGUAAUGGCUCACCAAGGCGGCGACGGGUAGCCGGCCUGAGAGGGUGACCGGCCACACUGGGACUGAGACACGGCCCAGACUCCUACGGGAGGCAGCAGUGGGGAAUAUUGCACAAUGGGCGCAAGCCUGAUGCAGCAACGCCGCGUGCGGGAUGACGGCCUUCGGGUUGUAAACCGCUUUUAGUAGGGAAGAAGCCUUCGGGUGACGGUACCUGCAGAAAAAGGACCGGCUAACUACGUGCCAGCAGCCGCGGUAACAC